UACAGAGGUCUCAAGCGUUGUUCGGAUUCAUUGGGCGUAAAGGGUGCGUAGGUGGCGCGGUAAGUCGGGUGUGAAAUUUCGGAGCUUAACUCCGAAACUGCAUUCGAUACUGCCGUGCUUGGGGACUGGAGAGGAGACUGGAAUUUACGGUGUAGCAGUGAAAUGCGUAGAUAUCGUAAGGAAGACCAGUGGCGAAGGCGGGUCUCUGGACAGUUCCUGACGCUGAGGCACGAAGGUCAGGGGAGCAAACGGGG
rnacentral:rRNA from 1 species